UACGUAGGGAGCAAGCGUUGUCCGGAAUCAUUGGGCGUAAAGCGCGCGUAGGUGGCCCCAUAAGUCCGCUGUGAAAGUCAAAGGCUCAACCUUUGAAAGCCGGUGGAUACUGUGGGACUAGAGUACGGAAGAGGCGAGUGGAAUUCCUGGUGUAGCGGUGGAAUGCGCAGAUAUCAGGAAGAACACCUAUGGCGAAGGCAGCACUCUGGGACGGUACUGACGCUGAGACGCGAAAGCGUGGGGAGCGAACAGG
rnacentral:rRNA from 1 species